GACGAACGCUGGCGGCGUGCUUAACACAUGCAAGUCGAACGGAAAGGCCCUGCUUUUGUGGGGUGCUCGAGUGGCGAACGGGUGAGUAACACGUGAGUAACCUGCCCUUGACUUUGGGAUAACUUCAGGAAACUGGGGCUAAUACCGGAUAGGAGCUCCUGCUGCAUGGUGGGGGUUGGAAAGUUUCGGCGGUUGGGGAUGGACUCGCGGCUUAUCAGCUUGUUGGUGGGGUAGUGGCUUACCAAGGCUUUGACGGGUAGCCGGCCUGAGAGGGUGACCGGCCACAUUGGGACUGAGAGACGGCCCAGACGCCUACGGGAGGCAGCAGUGGGGAAUAUUGCACAAUGGGCGGAAGCCUGAUGCAGCAACGCCGCGUGCGGGAUGACGGCCUUCGGGUUGUAAACCGAUUUCGCCUGUGAUGAAGCGUGAGUGACGGUAAUGGGUAAAGAAGCACCGGCUAACUACGUG
rnacentral:rRNA from 1 species